rnacentral:rRNA from 1 species
GACCUCGGAUCAGGUAGGGAUACCCGCUGAACUUAAGCAUAUCAAUAAGCGGAGGAAAAGAAACCAACAGGGAUUGCCUCAGUAACGGCGAGUGAAGCGGCAACAGCUCAAAUUUGAAAUCUGGCUCUUUCAGGGUCCGAGUUGUAAUUUGUAGAAGAUGCUUUGGGUGUAGCUCCGGUCUAAGUUCCUUGGAACAGGACGUCAUAGAGGGUGAGAAUCCCGUAUGUGACUGGGUGCUUUCGCUCGUGUAAAGCUCUUUCGACGAGUCGAGUUGUUUGGGAAUGCAGCUCAAAAUGGGUGGUAAAUUUCAUCUAAAACUAAAUAUUGGCCAGAGACCGAUAGCGCACAAGUAGAGUGAUCGAAAGAUGAAAAGCACUUUGGAAAGAGAGUUAAACAGUACGUGAAAUUGUUGAAAGGGAAGCGCUUGCAACCAG